UGUUUUUUUAUUGUUCUCAUCCCUGGUUAGAUUUCUAGCACUCAGAUCUUAGUUCUACAGCUUUCCUCUUGCAGGACAUUCUUCCAAACAGCACCAAGGCAGCUCUUUUGGCUGGGCUGUGGCCCAGUGUGGUUUCUAGCAGCGAAGAGGCUGAGGUGUCCUUGUGGCUGGAUAGACGCUUGGCUGAUUUCUUCAUGUUUCUUAAUGGUGAUAUGUUGAAUGCUAGUGAGACCUUGAACACCAGCUGUGGGACAUUCCAAAAAAUAGUGAACAAACUGAAUGGAAAUAUUGUGAUGUUCAAAGAUAAGGAAGAAGAAAUUUACUUUUCCAUCAAAGCUUAUCUGAUUGCAAGCAAAAGCAGACCACGAUGCUACAAUCCCAGCAAUCCCGAGAGGUCCAAUUGGCUUGUGAUGUAUCUUGG